rnacentral:rRNA from 1 species
UACGAAGGGGGCUAGCGUUGUUCGGAAUCACUGGGCGUAAAGCGCGCGUAGGCGGUCUUUCAAGUCAGGAGUGAAAGCCCCGGGCUCAACCCGGGAAUAGCUCUUGAUACUGUUGGACUUGAGUCCGGGAGAGGAUAGUGGAAUUCCCAGUGUAGAGGUGAAAUUCGUAGAUAUUGGGAAGAACACCAGUGGCGAAGGCGGCUAUCUGGACCGGUACUGACGCUGAGGCGCGAAAGCGUGGGGAGCAAACAGG